rnacentral:tRNA from 1 species
GGAGCAGGUAGUUCAAGAAAAAGCUUCUAACUUUCCUCUUAAGCGGUUAAAUUCCGUUUCUGCUCUU